GACGAACGCUGGCGGCGUGCCUAAUACAUGCAAGUAGAACGCUGAAGAGAGGAGCUUGCUCUUCUUGGAUGAGUUGCGAACGGGUGAGUAACGCGUAGGUAACCUGCCUUGUAGCGGGGGAUAACUAUUGGAAACGAUAGCUAAUACCGCAUAACAAUGGAUGACACAUGUCAUUUAUUUGAAAGGGGCAAUUGCUCCACUACAAGAUGGACCUGCGUUGCAUUAGCUAGUAGGUGAGGUAACGGCUCACCUAGGCGACGAUACAUAGCCGACCUGAGAGGGUGAUCGGCCACACUGGGACUGAGACACGGCCCAGACUCCUACGGGAGGCAGCAGUAGGGAAUCUUCGGCAAUGGGGGCAACCCUGACCGAGCAACGCCGCGUGAGUGAAGAAGGUUUUCGGAUCGUAAAGCUCUGUUGUAAGUCAAGAACGAGUGUGAGAGUGGAAAGUUCACACUGUGACGGUAGCUUACCAGAAAGGGACGGCUAACUACGUGCCAGCAGCCGCGGUAAUACGUAGGUCCCGAGCGUUGUCCGGAUUUAUUGGGCGUAAAGCGAGCGCAGGCGGUUUGAUAAGUCUGAAGUUAAAGGCUGUGGCUCAACCAUAGUUCGCUUUGGAAACUGUCAAACUUGAGUGCAGAAGGGGAGAGUGGAAUUCCAUGUGUAGCGGUGAAAUGCGUAGAUAUAUGGAGGAACACCGGUGGCGAAAGCGGCUCUCUGGUCUGUAACUGACGCUGAGGCUCGAAAGCGUGGGGAGCGAACAGGAUUAGAUACCCUGGUAGUCCACGCCGUAAACGAUGAGUGCUAGGUGUUGGAUCCUUUCCGGGAUUCAGUGCCGCAGCUAACGCAUUAAGCACUCCGCCUGGGGAGUACGACCGCAAGGUUGAAACUCAAAGGAAUUGACGGGGGCCCGCACAAGCGGUGGAGCAUGUGGUUUAAUUCGAAGCAACGCGAAGAACCUUACCAGGUCUUGACAUCCCGAUGCUAUUUCUAGAGAUAGAAAGUUACUUCGGUACAUCGGUGACAGGUGGUGCAUGGUUGUCGUCAGCUCGUGUCGUGAGAUGUUGGGUUAAGUCCCGCAACGAGCGCAACCCCUAUUGUUAGUUGCCAUCAUUCAGUUGGGCACUCUAGCGAGACUGCCGGUAAUAAACCGGAGGAAGGUGGGGAUGACGUCAAAUCAUCAUGCCCCUUAUGACCUGGGCUACACACGUGCUACAAUGGUUGGUACAACGAGUUGCGAGUCGGUGACGGCAAGCUAAUCUCUUAAAGCCAAUCUCAGUUCGGAUUGUAGGCUGCAACUCGCCUACAUGAAGUCGGAAUCGCUAGUAAUCGCGGAUCAGCACGCCGCGGUGAAUACGUUCCCGGGCCU
rnacentral:rRNA from 1 species